rnacentral:misc_RNA from 1 species
UUUUUUUUUUUUUUUUUAAAUCUCUUCAUUUCACUUGCCAUUCAGACUCUAUCUGCACGGUUUUCCAUUGCAAAUGGCGGUCCAUGUCCAGUCCGUAGAGAACUUAACCAGCAGAUGGACCGUCGCUGCCCGGUGCUGUGACUUCUGCAAAACGGCAACCGCUGCUGUGUUUUGCCGAGCUGACUCGGCUUUCCUUUGUCUCAAUUGUGACACCAAGAUCCAUGCCGCGAAUAAGCUCGUGUCCAGACACGAGCGUAUUUGGAUGUGCGAGGUUUGUGAACAAGCACCAGCUGCCGUCAACUGCAAGGCUGACGCUGCUGCCCUCUGCGUCACCUGCGAUGCAGAUAUUCACUUGGCUAAUCCUCUUGCUCGCCGUCACGAACGCGUUCCUGUUGAGCCUUUCUUCGACUCGGCUGAGUCUAUUGUUAAAUCUUCGCCGUUUAAUUUUCUAGUGCCUAGUGAUCAAAAUGGUAUCUCCGCCGGUUACCACCAGAAUCAUGAGGAUGAUGUGGAGGGUGUUUCGUGGCUGUUGCCGAAUCCUACUAACCUGAAUUCGAAAUUAGGCUUGGAAAAUCCUGAAAUGAAGGCUGACGGAGAUCUAUAUUUCCCUGAAAUGGAGCCGUUACUUGAUAUGGAGUUUCAACAGAGCCAUAGCGGGGCUACUGAUAGCGUGGUGCCUGUACAGACCAAACCAGCUUCAAUUCCAGUCAUCAACAACGAUAUCUGCUACGACGUCGAUUUCUGUAGAUCAAAGCUCUCUUCCUCCAACUACCCAACUCAGUCUCUUAGCCAAAGCGUUUCUUCGUCAUCGCUUGAUGUAGGAGUGGUUCCAGACGGGAACUCUAUGUCCGAUAUAUCGUACCCUUUUGGCCGAAACUUGAAUACUGGUACCGAUCCAAUCGCAUCCAUCUCGACUUCUACCACAAAUCAAACAGCACAGAUGUGUGGGAUUGAUCGGGAAGCUAGGGUAUUGAGGUACAGAGAGAAGAGGAAGAAUCGGAAAUUCGAAAAGACCAUACGCUACGCUUCUCGCAAAGCAUAUGCCGAAACCAGACCGAGAAUCAAAGGCCGGUUUGCGAAACGAGCUGAAAUUGAAUCCGACAUGGACCGCCUGUAUAACUCCCCCUCCUCGGUAUCUUUCGUGUCCGAUGCCCAAUACGGCGUCGUUCCAUCGUUUUGAAAACAAAAGGGUUAGGGAGUAUAAUCAUUAAUUUAUAAUUAUAAUUAUAGUUAUAAAUGAUUAUGUAGUUUGA